GACGAACGCUGGCGGCGUGCCUAAUACAUGCAAGUCGAACGAGAGCGACCGGUGCUUGCACUGGUCACUCUAGUGGCGAACGGGUGAGUAACACGUGGGUAACCUGCCCAUCAGAGGGGGAUAACAUCCGGAAACGGAUGCUAAAACCGCAUAGGUCUUCGAGCCGCAUGGCUUGAAGAGGAAAAGCGGCGCUAGCUUCUGCUGUUGGAUGGUCCCGCGGUGCAUUAGCUAGUUGGUGAGGUAACGGCUUACCAAGGCCGCGAUGCAUAGCCGACCUGAGAGGGUGAUCGGCCACAUUGGGACUGAGACACGGCCCAGACUCCUACGGGAGGCAGCAGUAGGGAAUCUUCCGCAAUGGGCGCAAGUCUGACGGAGCAACGCCGCGUGAGUGAAGAAGGUUUUCGGAUCGUAAAACUCUGUUGUUAGAGAAGAACAAGUGCUAGAGUAACUGUUAGCGCCUUGACGGUAUCUAACCAGAAAGCCACGGCUAACUACGUG
rnacentral:rRNA from 1 species